GAUGAAGAACGCAGCGAAAUGCGAUAAGUAGUGUGAAUUGCAGAAUUCAGUGAAUCAUCGAAUCUUUGAACGCACAUUGCGCCCUUUGGUAUUCCAAAGGGCAUGCCUGUUCGAGCGUCAUUUGUACCCUCAAGCUUUGCUUGGUGUUGGGCGUCUUGUCUCUAGCUUUGCUGGAGACUCGCCUUAAAGUAAUUGGCAGCCGGCCUACUGGUUUCGGAGCGCAGCACAAGUCGCACUCUCUAUCAGCAAAGGUCUAGCAUCCAUUAAGCCUUUUUUUCACCUUUUGACCUCGGAUCAGGUAGGGAUACCCGCUGAACUUAAGCAUAUCAAUAAGCGGAGGA
rnacentral:misc_RNA from 1 species